GUGGUCGUAGCUCAGUCGGUAGAGCGCCGGGAUGUGGCCCCGGAGGUCGCGGGUUCGAGCCCCGUCGGUCACCCCA
rnacentral:tRNA from 2 species